CUGCUGGGGCGCAGGGGGCGCAGAGCGCGCCGCGUGGCGAGAAUGCGAGGCCCGGGGGUGGGGUGCGGGACGCACCACGCCUGGCAGGUCCCCGGUGGCGCACAGACAGCGCCUGGGGAAGAGCUCCGGACCAGGACCAGGGUCGGUGUGCUGGAGUUGCCGACUGGGGAAGGAGACCUGCUCCCCUUUCGCGGGAACUGGGGGCGAAGCGGGCCGCGUGGACCCACCAGGUGCUCGCCCCGGCCGCGCUGUGUUCCUUCCCCUCCCAUGUCCGCCUCUCCCUUGAUUUGCUCCCCGACUAAAUUCUGAGGUGGGACCAGGGCUUUCCAGCUCAUCUCCGUAUCCGGCACACGGCGGUGAUGGCACUAAACGCAGCCACCAUCCACACCGCCCCCCAGCAGCCAGCCGCCCCCGGCAGCCUGUCCCGGUCCCCUCGUGUGCCACAGCAGUGAGACAUUCAGUAAAACUAUGCUGUUUACCAGCCCCUGCCCCGGGGGCCACGGUGGAUAUGGGUCAGGAAGAUACAGUCAAGGACUCCGCAUACCUGGGGUGAUACACACCCCAGCAGGACACUGCCGGACAGAACGCUACCCAAUGGCAAUUGCUGUGAGGAGGCGACCUUGCAUAAUUUUUAAAAAUUGCGGUAAAAUACACAUAACAUAAAAUUUACCGUCUUAACCACUUUUACGUGCAUGGUUAAGUAUCGUUAAAGUGUAUUCGCAUUGCUGUGCAACCAGUCUCCAGAAGUUUUCAUUUUGUGAAACUGAAUUUCAUGCCCGUUAAACAACUGCCCUUGACAGUGACCGUUCCAUUCUCUGGUCCUGUGAUUUUGACUAC